rnacentral:rRNA from 1 species
UACAGAGGGUGCGAGCGUUAAUCGGAAUUACUGGGCGUAAAGCGUGCGUAGACGGUUAUUUAAGUCGGAUGUGAAAGCCCCGGGCUCAACCUGGGAACUGCAUUGGAAACUAGCGAGCUUGAGUGUGGCAGAGGGGGGUGGAAUUCCACGUGUAGCAGUGAAAUGCGUAGAGAUGUGGAGGAACACCGAUGGCGAAGGCAGCCCCCUGGGCUAACACUGACGCUCAGGCACGAAAGCGUGGGGAGCAAACAGG